UACGUAGGGUGCAAGCGUUAAUCGGAAUUACUGGGCGUAAAGCGUGCGCAGGCGGUUCGGAAAGAAAAGAUGUGAAAUCCCAGAGCUUAACUUUGGAACUGCAUUUUUAACUACCGAGCUAGAGUGUGUCAGAGGGAGGUGGAAUUCCGCGUGUAGCAGUGAAAUGCGUAGAUAUGCGGAGGAACACCGAUGGCGAAGGCAGCCUCCUGGGAUAACACUG
rnacentral:rRNA from 1 species